rnacentral:rRNA from 1 species
GGGAAGAGCUCAAAUUUGAAAUCUGGUAGCCUUCGGUUGCCCGAGUUGUAAUCUAGAGAAGUGUUUUCCGUGCCGGCCCAUGUACAAGUCCCUUGGAACAGGGCGUCAUAGAGGGUGAGAAUCCCGUCCUUGACAUGGACCCCCGGUGCUUUGUGAUACACUUUCAACGAGUCGAGUUGUUUGGGAAUGCAGCUCAAAAUGGGUGGUGAAUUCCAUCUAAAGCUAAAUAUUGGCGAGAGACCGAUAGCGAACAAGUACCGUGAGGGAAAGAUGAAAAGCACUUUGGAAAGAGAGUUAAACAGUACGUGAAAUUGUUGAAAGGGAAACGAUUGAAGUCAGUCAUGCUCUUGGGACUUACCUCCCUUGAGUGGGGUCAACAUCAGUUUUGAUCGAUGGAUAAAGGCACGGGGAAGGUAGCACUCUCGGGUGAACUUAUAGCCUCGCGUCAUAUACAUUGAUUGGGACUGAGGAACGCAGCAUGCCUUAUGGCCGGGAUUCGUCCACGUACAUGCUUAGGAUGUUGACAUAAUGGCUUUAAACGACCCGUCUU